CGCGGACUCACCAAGCAGCAGCAGCUUCAGCUCCCCUCGGUCCCGCUUCUCCUGCUGCAGGAGGAUCUUGUUGAUUUCCUGGUCGAUCCGGGCCGCCGACUUCUCGUCCUCGGUCAGGCACCAGGGGCAGCAGCGCCAGCAGCGUGAUUCACGACAGUGAAAAGGGGGAAACAACCCAAGUGACCAUCAACGGAUGGAUGAACAAAGGUGGUCCAUCCACGCAGUGGAAUGAUUCAGCCUUAAAAAGGAAAGAGAUCCUGACACCUGCUACACCAUGGAUGUACCUGAAGGACAUGAUGCUCAG